rnacentral:rRNA from 1 species
GACGAACGCUGGCGGCGUGCUUAACACAUGCAAGUCGAACGGAAAGGCCCUGCUUUUGUGGGGUGCUCGAGUGGCGAACGGGUGAGUAACACGUGAGUAACCUGCCCUUGACUUUGGGAUAACUUCAGGAAACUGGGGCUAAUACCGGAUAGGAGCUCCUGCUGCAUGGUGGGGGUUGGAAAGUUUCGGCGGUUGGGGAUGGACUCGCGGCUUAUCAGCUUGUUGGUGGGGUAGUGGCUUACCAAGGCUUUGACGGGUAGCCGGCCUGAGAGGGUGACCGGCCACAUUGGGACUGAGAUACGGCCCAGACUCCUACGGGAGGCAGCAGUGGGGAAUAUUGCACAAUGGGCGGAAGCCUGAUGCAGCAACGCCGCGUGCGGGAUGACGGCCUUCGGGUUGUAAACCGCUUUCGCCUGUGACGAAGCGUGAGUGACGGUAAUGGGUAAAGAAGCACCGGCUAACUACGUGCCAGCAGCCGCGGUGAUACGUAGGGUGCGAGCGUUGUCCGGAUUUAUUGGGCGUAAAGGGCUCGUAGGUGGUUGAUCGCGUCGGAAGUGUAAUCUUGGGGCUUAACCCUGAGCGUGCUUUCGAUACGGGUUGACUUGAGGAAGGUAGGGGAGAAUGGAAUUCCUGGUGGAGCGGUGGAAUGCGCAGAUAUCAGGAGGAACACCAGUGGCGAAGGCGGUUCUCUGGGCCUUUCCUGACGCUGAGGAGCGAAAGCGUGGGGAGCGAACAGGCUUAGAUACCCUGGUAGUCCACGCUGUAAACGGUGGGUACUAGGUGUGGGGUCCAUUCCACGGGUUCCGUGCCGUAGCUAACGCUUUAAGUACCCCGCCUGGGGAGUACGGCCGCAAGGCUAAAACUCAAAGGAAUUGACGGGGCCCCGCACAAGCGGCGGAGCAUGCGGAUUAAUUCGAUGCAACGCGUAGAACCUUACCUGGGUUUGACAUGGAUCGGGAGUGCUCAGAGAUGGGUGUGCCUCUUUUGGGGUCGGUUCACAGGUGGUGCAUGCCUGUCGUCAGCUCGUGUCGUGAGAUGUUGGGUUAAGUCCCGCAACGAGCGCAACCCUUGUUCACUGUUGCCAGCACGUUAUGGUGGGGACUCAGUGGAGACCGCCGGGGUCAACUCGGAGGAAGGUGGGGAUGACGUCAAGUCAUCAUGCCCCUUAUGUCCAGGGCUUCACGCAUGCUACAAUGGCUGGUACAGAGAGUGGCGAGCCUGUGAGGGUGAGCGGAUCUCGGAAAGCCGGUCUCAGUUCGGAUUGGGGUCUGCAACUCGACCUCAUGAAGUCGGAGUCGCUAGUAAUCGCAGAUCAGCAACGCUGCGGUGAAAACGUUCCCGGGGCU